GCCAAACAACUAGCUUAAACACAUAAAUUUUUCUACAACAUUAAAAACGACUAUCUUAACCAAAACUAUGAAAAUAAAACAUUCUCCCGCCCUAGUAUGAGUGACAGAAAAGGCCCUAUUAAGCUAUAAAAAAGUACCGCAAGGGAAAGAUGAAAAAGAAAUGAAAUAAACCAUUUAAGCCUAACAAAGCAGAGACUAGUCCUCGUACCUUUCGCAUCAUGAUUUAGCCAGCCAUCCUGAGCAAAGAGAACUUUAGUUCACAACCCCGAAACUAGGUGAGCUACCCCGAGACAGCCUAUUAUAGGGCCAACCCGUCUCUGUGGCAAAAGAGUGGGAAGAUCUCCGGGUAGAGGUGACAAACCUACCGAACCUAGUUAUAGCUGGUUGCCUGAGAAAUGGAUAUUAGUUCAGCCCCGUGCUCCUCAAUUCACAAAAAUUAUUACUACCUAAGACUAUGAGAAAUACACGAGAGUUAGUCAGAGGGGGUACAGCCCCUCUGAAAAGGAAUACAACCCUAUCAGGAGGUUAAAGAUUAUAUUAACUAAGAUUCCUGCUUUAGUAGGCCUAAAAGCAGCCAUCUAAAUAGAAAGCGUUAAAGCUCAAGCAGCCAAAAAUCUAUUAUUUCAAUAAUUUUCUCUUAAACCCCUAACCAUAUCAGGCCUUUCUAUGUAAACAUAGAAAUGACACUGCUAAAAUGAGUAACAAGAAGGGCAUCGCCCUUCUCCCAGCCCACGUGUAAGCUAGAUCGGACCCCCCACUAGCCAUUAACGAACCCACUAAAAGAGGGCAAUAUGACCAAAAAGAUAACCAAGAAAAAAUCACAGCCUACUAUCGUUAACCCCACACUGGAGGGCCCAUGAGGAAAGACUAAAAGGAUAAAGGAAGGAACUCGGCAAACAUAAGCCUCGCCUGUUUACCAAAAACAUGGCCUCCCGCAAAGCUCGAUGUAUAGGAGGUCUUACCUGCCCAGUGACUGUAAGUUUAACGGCCGCGGUAUUUUGACCGUGCAAAGGUAGCGCAAUCACUUGUCUUUUAAAUGAAGACCUGUAUGAAUGGUGAAACGAGGGCUUAACUGUCUCCCUCUCCUAGUCAGUGAAAUUGAUCUAUUCGUGCAGAAGCGGAUAUAUUACUACAAGACGAGAAGACCCUUUGGAGCUUAAGGUAAAAACUAACUAUGUCAAGAGUCAAAAAGACUAAACCAAAUAGCCCUAGUUCCUACCUUCGGUUGGGGCGACCACGGGAGAAAAUAAAGCUCCCAUGAGGACUGGGGGUAACCCCCUAAAACUAAGAGAAACAUCUCUAAGGCACAGAAUAUCUGACCACUGAUCCGGCCAUAAGCCGACCAACGAACCAAGUUACCCUAGGGAUAACAGCGCAAUCCCCUUUCAGAGUCCAUAUCGACAAGGGGGUUU
rnacentral:rRNA from 1 species